rnacentral:precursor_RNA from 1 species
GAAGUGACAAUAUCCUUUAUGUGAUAGUACUCGUGAUUGGAAUCGCAAUAACAAGGUUUGCAGUGGAAGUAAUCUUUUUCAAUCAUCAUAUCCAUUUACAACGACUUUAAGUAUAAGUCGAUAUAUGGGGAUGUAACGCAUGUUGUUUUCUGCGAGGAGCAUUUGUACAUGUUUCAUGUAGCAUGAAAUCACAUUCCAUACAUGAAUAGUAAUUACCUUAGAUAGGACAUUGUACUGCUUGAAAAAACUUGUUAACGUCAUAAAAUUUAUGAUGAAAACACCUAUAAAAAGUGUUUUUUCAAGCAUGUGUCCAUGAGAGUAAUUUUUAUUCAUAUAUGACAUGUGAUUUCAUCCUUCAUAAAAUGUGUGCAAAUGCUUUCCACAGGAAACAACAUACGUUACAUCCCAUCUACUUACACUUAAAGUCGUUGUCUAUGAAUCUGAUAAAAUGUUACUUCGACUGUAAGCAGUGGUUUCGUCUAUGAGUGUCGCAUACAUGUACGAUCGGAGCUUU